UCGACGGUGAGGGAUGAAAGCUGGGGGAGCAAACCGGAUUAGAUACCCGGGUAGUCCCAGCUGUAAACGAUGCAAACUCGAUGAUGCGUUGGCAUUUGGCCAGCGCAGUGUCGCAGGGAAGCCGUUAAGUUUGCCGCCUGGGAAGUACGUACGCAAGUAUGAAACUUAAAGGAAUUGGCGGGGGAGCACCACAAGGGGUGAAGCCUGCGGUUCAAUUGGAGUCAACGCCUGAAACCUUACCCGGAGAGACAGCAGAAUGAAGGUCAAGCUGAAGACUUUACCAGACAAGCUGAGAGGUGGUGCAUGGCCGUCGCCAGCUCGUGCCGUGAGAUGUCCUGUUAAGUCAGGUAACGAGCGAGAUCCCUGCCUCUAGUUGCCACCAUUACUCUCAGGAGUAGUAGGGCGAAUUAGAGGGACCGCCGCAGUUAAUGCGGAGGAAGGAAGGGGCCACGGCAGGUCAGUAUGCCCCGAAACUCUGGGGCCACACGCGGGCUGCAAUGGUAACGACAGUGAGUUCCAAAAUCGAAAGAUGGAGGUAAUCCCUAAACGUUACCACAGUUAUGAUUGAGGGCUGCAACUCGCCCUCAUGAAUAUGGAAUCCCUAGUAACCGCGUGUCAUUAUCGCGCAGUGAAUACGUCCCUGCUCCUUGCACACACCGCCCGU
rnacentral:rRNA from 1 species